UCUACGUUUGUGUAGUUUGCCCAGUCAUUCGAAAAAGAAGAAGUGAAAAUUUGCCAUCGCGUUUGUUUGUUAUUUUUUAUUAGUAGGAGAUAUUAAACCAUAAGUAAUACUGUAUUCGAUAAACAAUGGACACAUAACUUAAUCCAGUACACAAAUAAAACAAACUAUUUAUGAUUCCGUUUUAGCGAAGCAAGGCUUCAGGAGAGUGAAGAUAACUAGCCUGCCGUUCUCCACCACAAACUGAGCCCAAGACUAUACUGACUGGGUCCUGACUGACAACAUCACUGGGCACCGCAGGAGAAAUGGCAUCAGUGAAAGACAGCAGUCAAACACUCCUGUUGAAUAUCAUCACGAAAGAUAAAGAGGAGGAAGUGAAGAUUUGGGAAUGUGAUGAUUAUCCAGGAGAGAGUCCAGACAUGGCAUCUGUAGAGCUGGCAGGCAGCAGUCAAACACUGGGGCUGAAUGUUACCAUGAAUGAAGAACAGAAGGAAGACAUUGGGGAAUCUGCUGAUCAUGGAGAGACCUCUAACUCCUCUGAGCAAGUGGAGACAUUUCCUGCAUCCGGGAAGAAACAUCAGGAAGGGACCAAAGCUAAGAGGUCUCGCCACUGCCCUCACUGUGAGGAGAGUUUCCCAUUCCCAUCAUAUCUUGAAAGACACCUUCGAAAACAUUCUGGAGAGAAGCCUUAUUCCUGUUCUGUUUGUGGGAGGAGUUUUUCUCAACUGAGUGGGUUGAAUGUGCACCAGCGAACACACACUGGAGAGAAGCCUCACCGCUGUCCUCACUGUGAGGAGAGUUUCCCAUUUCCAUCAUAUCUUGAAAGACACCUACGAAAGCAUUCUGGAGAGAAGCCUUAUUCCUGCUCUGACUGUGGGAUGAGUUUUUCUCAACUGAGUGGCUUGAACGUGCACCAGCGAACACACACUGGAGAGAAGCCUCACCACUGUCCUCACUGUGAGAAGAGUUUCCCAUUCCUAUCAUAUCUUGAAAGACACCUGCGAAAACAUUCUGGAGAGAAGCCUUACUGCUGCUCUGACUGUGGGAAAUGCUUCACAACAUCAAGUCAUUUAACCUCCCAUCGCCGAGUUCACACAGGGGAGAAGCCUUACUCCUGCUCUGACUGUGGGAAGAGUUUCCCAUUCCCAUCAUAUCUUGAACGACACCUGCGGAAACAUGCUAACCAUUGUGUUUAAUGAAGGUCAUGUGGUGGCAACCAGCACUGAACAAUACAUUUUUGGCCAGCAGUCAACCCAGCCGGUCGGCAGUCAACCCAGCCGGCCAAACCAUCCACUGUUGUUCACUGGAAUCGUCAUUAAGUCGAAGAGGAAUCGGUUCAAGGAGUGAAGUCAGGAUAGAUGAUCCUUUCCUCCAAAACAUAUGAAUCUCAUAUCAUCUGUUUUAUAUGUGCCAAGUCUAUUGAGGGGGGCACAGGUUACAGGUUAGGCUUAAAGCCUGUUUUGUAUGAAUUAUUAUAAGUGGUGUCCAGCACAACCUAUGACAAAGCUUACACUGAAUGAAUUGAUGGUUUGGGUUCUUUGAUCAGUGAAAUUAUAUUCUCCCUGUCAAUAGCAUCAUCAUCAUCAGACAAAUACUUUACCCAUGAUUUAACCAUUUGGAAGAUAUUUUUGCUUUAGUAAUUGAAGAUGGAAAAUAAAUAGCAGACACCAAACCUCUGGACAAAUUUGUACCCAAUGGGACACCAUAGGCACAAAGUGCAGACUGUAGACUAAGAUAAAGAGACAAAGUUCCUGGAAACUAGGGAGACCCUCUGAGUUAAAUAUAUCUCCUAGGUUUUUGAUCCCUUUUUCACACCAGGCUUUUGGCUCAAAUGGUUUAUUACCUGAAAGUAAUAGCCUUGUUAUGCCAUAGCGGGGUAUAGAGAUGCCACUUCCAGGACAGAUCCAUGACAGAUCCAUGACAGAUCCAUGACAGGUCCAUGACAGAUCCAUGACAGGUCCAUGACAGAUCCAUGACAGAUCCAUGACAAGUCCAUGACAGAUCCAUGACAGGUCCAUGACAGGUCCAUGACAGGUCCAUGACAGGUCCAUGACAGAUCCAUGACAGGUCCAUGACAGAUCCAUGACAGGUCCAUGACAGAUCCAUGACAAGUCCAUGACAGAUCCAUGACAGGUCCAUGACAGGUCCAUGACAUGUCCAUGACAGGUCCAUGACAGGUCCAUGACAGAUCCAUGUAAACGUAACUGGUACCAUAGACUCUGUCUGGAAGGAAUGGGAUGCGUGUGCUAACGAACGGCAGUAGGUCUGGUGUUUUGGAGUUUUCGUCACUGAUUUAUUUGGACAACUCAUGAUUUCGCAGAGGUUAGCGUCUUCCGAAAUUUCGGAAGGAGAGGGGGACAUUCGAUUCGUCACUAGCAAAGAGAGAGAGAGAGAGAGUGAAGCUUCUCAUUUUCUAGAAUCUCUUAAUCCCUUUCUCUUAACACAUAUGGACCUAGAAUUGUAAUCGUGCAGCUGACCAAUUACACAACACUUUAGUUCUGGAUUAACCAACUAUACCAUUUACACACUUCUCAACAUUCCUCAAGUUCGAGAUCUCAUUGGAGAUAAUAGAACUGUAAUAUACUAUAACAUGCAUUUCUUAGCAUAGUAGAAAAAUAACACAUCUUUCAAUCUAAUAAGGGGAAACUAAUUCCUUUUCAAUGAACUACCAAGAGACUGGUGUAGACUGAUGAACCAUGGUAUAAGUGAUUGACCAUUAAGACGUCUGCAUGCUUCCCAGCCUAAACAGGUCCUUGUAGUACCUCAAACUGGAUCUUUGCCAUUCCAUAAAGGUAUUUAUGUACAUGUUUAUUGAGUAAGUUUACAUUCCUGCUGACUGUCGAAAGAGGAAUUUUAAGAUUUUGGGGAAUAUGAUGAUUAACCAGGUUAUCGAGCAGGGUUUAUUACCAGCGAUACGCGACCUGGUCACUGAUAAUAAAAGGCUUUUUUUUUUUACCCUGAAUUCAGAUCUCGUCCCUGCUGGAUAAAUCUCAACAGGAGAUCUUAAGUGUUGUUUCCUUCUGAAGGAAACAAUCCAGCCACAUGGUGGCAUAUAUCUGUUUGUUUUUAUUGGCCCACUAGAUCUUUUUUUUGGGGGGGGCGUCGUUUUGUCUAGAAGGUAUGCUGCUUUUGUCAAAAUUAACUUUUUGUAGCGAGUGAUAAUUAAUGUAGCAGGUUAGGAUAAUUUUUUUACAUUUUAAUUUGACCUUUAUUUAACUAGGCAAGUCAGUUAAGAACAAAUUCUUAUUUUCAAUGACGGCCCAGGAACAGUGGGUUAACUGUUCAGGGGCAGGACGACAGAUUUGUACCUUGUCAGCUCGGGGAUUUGAACUUGCAACCUUCCGGUUACUAGUCCAACGCUCUAACCACUAGGCUACCCUAGGUUAAGGUUAGGAAAAGAGUUAGGUUUGGCUAAAGUGAUAUUUUCUAAAAUGUUUUGACGUCUAGUUGACAUAAGCUGUAUUCCAUCUAGGCAUGGUGGAAUAAGCGUCCGCUCCUGAGUGGCGCAGCGGUCCAAGGCACUUCAUCGCAGUGCUAGAGGCGUCACUACAGACACCCUGAUUCGAAUCCAGGCUGUAUCACAACAAUUGGGAGUCCCAUAGAGCGGCGCACAAUUCACCCAGCGUCAUCCAGGUUUGGCCGGUGUAGGCAGUCAUUGUAAAUAAUAAUUUAUUCUUGCCUAGUUAAAUAAAGAUGAAAUCAAAUAAAAAAAUGUAAUGCUUGGAUGUCACCUGCUGGUAAGGUGCUGAACUGUUAGGUUAUAGACCGGAUGCCAUUGUUGAGCAGGCGGUAUAUAGAAGUUGUUACUCGCUGGCUAAGGCACUGUUGGCUUCUUCAAUAAAACGACAUGAAACACGUGCUAUCCGGGAUCCCUACCCCAUUGCAUUUGACAUUACAGACAAAUAUUCUUUGGUUUUACCUCAGUAUAUCGUUAUUCGAUUAGCUGACUCCUUGGCUCUUCUUUGGUAGCUAACUCAGCUGUCAAAUCGUUAAGUCUCUGCUCUCUCUUUACUUUAUAUCUGCUGGCUUUUAUGUUGUGUUCUGUGAGUUUGUGCCUGUGCUCGUCUAGGUGGUGUUCUCUGGCUUAGUACUUCACUACAUUACCAAAAGUAUGUGGACACCUGCUAGUUGAAUAUCUUAAUAUGUAAUUUGUACCCCCUCCUUUGCCGCUAUAACAGCCUCCACUCUUCUGGGAAGGCUUUCCACUAGAUGUUGGAACGUUGCUGCAGGGACUUGCUUCCAUUCAGCCACAAGAGCAGUAGUGAGGUUGAGCGCUGAUGUUGUUGGGCGAUUAGGCCUGGCUCGCAGUCGGCGUUCCAAUUCAUCCAAAAGGUGUUUGAUGGGAUUGAGGUCAGGUCUAUGUGCAGGCAAAUCAAGUUUUUCCACACCGAUCUCGACAAACUAUUUCUCAUCUGCGGGAUCGUCUGAAACCAGUCACCCGGACAGCUGAUGAAACCGAGAAGCAUUUUUGUCUUUAAUAAAGACUGUUUGUGUAGAAACUAAUUUUGAUUGGCUGGGCCUGGCUCCGUAGUGCGUGGUCUGUUCCAUCCCAGGCCCAGCCACGCCCCUUCCCAGUCAUGAAAUUCAUAGGUUAGGGCCUAAUCAAUUUAUUUAAAUUGACUGAUUUCCUUAUAUGAACUGUAAAAAUAGUAAAAUCAUUGAAAUGAUUGCAUGUCACGUUUUACAAAUUUAGUUCAGUAUAGAUAAAUCUUUGACGCAAUAAUCCCAGAGGCAGAACAGGUCGAAAAGUUCAUUGAAGGACGAAAAACAAACGAAGAGCAGACAAGGUACUAAACAAUUAGCACAGACAGGAAUGAUUUUCCACUUUCCUUUUAAGCCGGAGGCAAGCCUGCCGGAGCAGAAGUCAGAGCUGCCUCGACUGGAGUAGCCGAGCAAGAUCAUGCGGCCCCCACAUGUGGGGAAUCUAAUUGGUUGUUUACAUCACACCUCCUCGUGAUUGAUGGAUUGUAGCUCGCCACUGCCAGCACUCUGCAUGGCUUGUGGCUGAUUUUAGCCAACUCAAGCUAGCUAACACAGAGUAGAUUCUCCAUAUGUGACCCGUUUCAGGAAACUAGGCGCAUGUCUCGGGUCACAAAUUCACAGGAGAGCCGCUUGAACGUAACCUUUUUUUUUAAAUGAAAAUGCCUGUUUUGGGGGCAGAAAUGCCUUCUGUAACAUGUGAACUUUCAUGUGCCUUAAUAAUAACAAACUUGUAUGCCAUCUGUAAAUAAGAAUAACAUUGUUACAUGUUGAUCCUAGUUGGUUUAGCCACAGAAAAAAACAGCAACCUUCCCACUAGCCAUGAUUGGCUGAGAUAAUGAGUGGGCUGGACAGGCCGAGAGGUGAGUUUGGAUUGGUCUGCCAUAUAGCACGCUUCUGUCUAUUUGAGCUGGUCAGUAUUGCUCUACACUUUCUGGAGGACCGAGUCUUGAAAUCAGUGGAAUUCGAGUGAUUGCUAAGGAGAAAACACCUGUCUCCGGAUGACAUCUUCUUCACACUAGGGGCAACCAUGGCAUACGUGACAGGAGACAAUUGAUGAUGCAUAUGGGUAAGAUAUUCUUGCUCGCUACAUUUUCAGAUAUUACACGUUUCUAAUUUUGACAGUCUUUUCAUUUCAAGUUAGUUAUACAGGGUCUGCUAACCCUGUCUGAAAUAUGUUGGGGCUAGUGUACUGGUCUGCUAACCCUGUCUGAAACAUGUUGGGGCUAGUGUACUGGUCAGCUAACCCUGUACCAAACAUGUUGGGGCUAGUGUACUGGUCAGCUAACCCUGUCUGAAACAUGUUGGGGCUAGUGUACUGGUCAGCUAACCCUGUCUGAAACAUGUUGGGGCUAGUGUACUGGUCAGCUAACCCUGUACCAAACAUGUUGGGGCUAGUGUACUGGUCAGCUAACCCUGUCUGAAACAUGUUGGGGCUAGUGUACUGGUCAGCUAACCCUGUACCAAACAUGUUGGGGCUAGUGCACUGGUCAGCUAACCCUGUACCAAACAUGUUGGGGCUAGUGUACUGGUCAGCUAACCCUGUACCAAACAUGUUGGGGCUAGUGUACUGGUCAGCUAACCCUGUCUGAAACAUGUUGGGGCUAGUGUACUGGUCAGCUAACCCUGUACCAAACAUGUUGGGGCUAGUGUACUGGUCAGCUAACCCUGUACCAAACAUGUUGGGGCUAGUGUACUGGUCAGCUAACCCUGUCUGAAACAUGUUGGGGCUAGUGUACUGGUCAGCUAACCCUGUACCAAACAUGUUGGGGCUAGUGCACUGGUCAGCUAACCCUGUACCAAACAUGUUGGGGCUAGUGUACUGGUCAGCUAACCCUGUCUGAAACAUGUUGGGGCUAGUGUACUGGUCAGCUAACCCUGUCUGAAACAUGUUGGGGCUAGUGCACUGGUCAGCUAACCCUGUCUGAAACAUGUUGGGGCUAGUGUACUGGUCUGCUAACCCUGUCUGAAACAUGUUGGGGCUAGUGUACUGGUCAGCUAACCCUGUCUGAAACAUGUUGGGGCUAGUGUACUGGUCAGCUAACCCUGUCUGAAACAUGUUGGGGCUAGUGUACUGGUCAGCUAACCCUGUCUGAAACAUGUUGGGGCUAGUGUACUGGUCAGCUAACCCUGUCUGAAACAUGUUGGGGCUAGUGCACUGGUCAGCUAACCCUGUCUGAAACAUGUUGGGGCUAGUGUACUGGUCAGCUAACCCUGUACCAAACAUGUUGGGGCUAGUGUACUGGUCUGCUAACCCUGUCUGAAACAUGUUGGGGCUAGUGCACUGGUCAGCUAACCCUGUACCAAACAUGUUGGGGCUAGUGUACUGGUCAGCUAACCCUGUCUGAAACAUGUUGGGGCUAGUGUACUGGUCAGCUAACCCUGUCUGAAACAUGUUGGGGCUAGUGUACUGGUCUGCUAACCCUGUACCAAACAUGUUGGGGCUAGUGUACUGGUCUGCUAACCCUGUCUGAAAUAUGUUGGGGCUAGUGUACUGGUCAGCUAACCCUGUCUGAAACAUGUUGGGGCUAGUGUACUGGUCAGCUAACCCUGUCUGAAACAUGUUGGGGCUAAUGUACUGGUCAGCUAACCCUGUACCAAACAUGUUGGGGCUAGUGCACUGGUCAGCUAACCCUGUACCAAACAUGUUGGGGCUAGUGUACUGGUCAGCUAACCCUGUACCAAACAUGUUGGGGCUAGUGUACUGGUCAGCUAACCCUGUCUGAAACAUGUUGGGGCUAGUGCACUGGUCAGCUAACCCUGUCUGAAACAUGUUGGGGCUAGUGUACUGGUCAGCUAACCCUGUACCAAACAUGUUGGGGGUUCCUUCCUUCCAAUAUUUGAGUCUAGGAUUAAGGUAAAAAAUGUUAAUUAUAAUUAAGGUCAAUUAUAAUGUCUGUUUUAUUUGACUCCACUUUUAAAUAUCAGCCUGUCUCAUCACAUUCAGGGAUGAGCUGUUUGUAAGCAAGAGGGGGGGGGGGGGGGGAGGGGUGGUGUUCUUAGUGACAGCAAGCUCUAAUCCACUUUAAGGCCAAGGCCCAAAGUGGAUAUCCAUUAUUGUAAAGUCAGUCCUCUCCUUCCUUUCAUGUGGAGUGUUGCCUGUGUGUAGUAUCAGUUCUCCUAGUUCUCCAGUCUAGUUUUUUAUUUUUUUAUUUUUUUAACCUGGCAUGAACAAAUUCUGAUUUACAAUUACAGCCUGCCAGGGAACAGCCUUGUUCAGUGGCAGAACGACAGAUUUUUACCUUGUCAGCUACGGGGGAUGUGAUCCUACAACCUUCCGGUUAACGGCCCAACACUCUAACCACUAGGCUACCUGGUGCUCCAGGACACAACAGUGAAAACAUUUGAAAUAAAAUAAAAAAAUAAAUAAAUACAUUUUUGGUCUACAGUUAUGUUGUUUUUAUUGGCAUUUUUUCCCCAUAUUAUUUUACAACGAUGGUCACAAUCUGGAAAGAUGUGUGUGAACAAAAAGAGUGGCACUAUUGCAGAGUGGCAGGAAGCAGGGUAUUCUCUCGGCAUGCGAGUGUCCUACACACUGCUGGGCAUGCUGUGUUACCUACAGAUGUUACUUAUAGAGUUUAGUCUUUAGUCUUAUUCAUAAGGUGUUGAGUUCUAUCUGCUGACGGACAUGCAUAACACACACGGGGCUACUGCACAUCAAUGGGAGUAAGACAGAGAGGUUGAGCCGGACAACCAUGAAUGG